rnacentral:rRNA from 1 species
ACGCUCGACACCUACGGGACGCAGCAGUAGGGAAUCUUCCACAAUGGACGCAAGUCUGAUGGAGCAACGCCGCGUGAGUGAAGAAGGUCUUCGGAUCGUAAAACUCUGUUGUUAGAGAAGAACACGAGUGAGAGUAACUGUUCAUUCGAUGACGGUAUCUAACCAGCAAGUCACGGCUAACUACGUGCCAGCAGCCGCGGUAAUCUGAGCGGGCUGGCAAGGC